GACGUAGGGCGCGAGCGUUGUCCGGAUUUAUUGGGCGUAAAGAGCUCGUAGGCGGCUUGUCGCGUCGACUGUGAAAACCCGCGGCUCAACUGCGGGCUUGCAGUCGAUACGGGCAGGCUUGAGUUCGGUAGGGGAGACUGGAAUUCCUGGUGUAGCGGUGAAAUGCGUAGAUAUCUGGAGGAACACCGGUGGCGAAGGCGGCAUCCUGGACCGGCAUUGACGCUGAGGCGCGAAAGCCAGGGGAGCAAACGGG
rnacentral:rRNA from 1 species